rnacentral:lncRNA from 1 species
ACAGAAGCUGGCUGGGGAAUUCUGAAAUGUUUACAACAUACAGAGCACACCUGAAGAACAGGGCUUAGUUAUGGACCCAUUUUCCUGUUUGCCACGGUGAGGUGAGCUCAUUGCCCAUUUCUAAGCACGCAGCAUCCCGCAGGGCGGUGCUUGCAGCAAUAUAAUCGCACGGGAGCUCAGCCCCAUGGCCCGCCAAGGUGAGCAGGAAAACCACGGCCACAGCUGCCCUGCAGCCACCCAGAGCUGCUUCCAAGAGCGUCGUGAAACGACACUCUUCGUAUUGCAUAGAGCUAUUUAUUACACAUGUACAUAUACUGUUACAUAUUAUAACAUCUAUAUAUACAUACGCGUGUGUUUAUACAAACAUAUGUAAUACAUAGAUAUUUUAUGUGAAUGUGAUCUAUAUAUAAUACUAUUUAAUAUGACAUAUAUUAUAUGGAAUGCAUCAAUACACGUAUUAUUACCUACAUGGCGAGGAAUAUUACGUAGGAACAUUACGAGCAGACCCUCGGUCCCGGCCUGGCCCUGCCCUACAGCCCGCCCCCUGCCCGCCAUGGUCCCGCNGGAAGGGCUUCUGAACGCCGCCGCUCUCGGGCUCCACCGUCCCCGCCUGUCAGGGGCUGUAGCAUUUGGGGCCCUCGCUGCUGGCAGCCACCGGCCUGCGCUGGCAGAGACCCCUCCCCGACCGGGUGCGCCCGGUGCAGGAACGGAAACAAACCGGGGAACUGUACUCUGGCAAGAUGCCCUCUGUCUGGUGUGUCUGGGAGCCAAGGACUGGCUUACACAAACAGCAGGAAGCUUGUGUAAGUAUCCACAGGAAAACUGUCAUGUGGGGAGACUGGGGCUGCUCUAGCCAUGAUAAGAUUUGAGGUCUGAGAAACAGAAUGUCGCUGGCUGUCAUGAAAUCUUUGUGUCCAUCGUAAGACCAUGGAGCUAGCCCUAACAAAAUCUAGGUUUUGCAGGUCGGGAACAGAAAACAGGCUUUGUCUGCAGCCAGAUACUGGGACAGGGAAGGGACUGGAAUGAAGAAACCAGAAAUAAAUGGAUUUCUAUUGUUUAUCUGACUAGAGGU